UACGUAGGGUGCAAGCGUUUGUCCGGAAUUAUUGGGCGUAAAGAGCUCGUAGGCGGUUUGUUGCGUCGGCUGUGAAAUCCCGAGGCUCAACCUCGGGUCUGCAGUCAUACGAGCAAACUAGAGUGUUGCAGGGGAGACUGGAAUUCCUGGUGUAGCGGUGAAAUGCGCAGAUAUCAGGAGGAACACCGGUGGCGAAGGCGGGUCUCUGGGCAACAACUGACGCUGGAGGAGCGAAAGCGUGGGGAGCGAACAGG
rnacentral:rRNA from 1 species